UAUUAACGCUGGCGGCGUGCCUAAUACAUGCAAGUCGAGCGAACAGACGAGGAGCUUGCUCCUCUGACGUUAGCGGCGGACGGGUGAGUAACACGUGGAUAACCUACCUAUAAGACUGGGAUAACUUCGGGAAACCGGAGCUAAUACCGGAUAAUAUAUUGAACCGCAUGGUUCAAUAGUGAAAGACGGUUUUGCUGUCACUUAUAGAUGGAUCCGCGCCGCAUUAGCUAGUUGGUAAGGUAACGGCUUACCAAGGCAAUGAUGCGUAGCCGACCUGAGAGGGUGAUCGGCCACACUGGAACUGAGACACGGUCCAGACUCCUACGGGAGGCAGCAGUAGGGAAUCUUCCGCAAUGGGCGAAAGCCUGACGGAGCAACGCCGCGUGAGUGAUGAAGGUCUUCGGAUCGUAAAACUCUGUUAUUAGGGAAGAACAAAUGUGUAAGUAACUAUGCACGUCUUGACGGUACCUAAUCAGAAAGCCACGGCUAACUACGUG
rnacentral:rRNA from 1 species